rnacentral:rRNA from 1 species
UACGGAGGGUGCAAGCGUUACCCGGAUUCAUUGGGCGUAAAGAGCUCGUAGGCGGUUCAGUAAGUCGGGUGUGAAAUCUCCGUGCUCAACACGGAGCGGCCACCUGAUACUGCUGUGACUCGAGUCCGGUAGGGGAGUGUGGAAUUCCCGGUGUAGCGGUGAAAUGCGUAGAUAUCGUGAGGAACACCAGAGGCGAAGGCGGCUACCUGGACAAUUGCUGACGCUCAGGCACGAAAGCGUGGGGAGCAAAAGGG